UCCAAGUUGGGGGCUCAGCAUUUGGCUUCUUCGGAAUUGUUCUGAUCUGAUUAGCAAAAGUGUUGAAAACAUAAAUUCGAAGUGUUUUCUGAACACAAGGAGGAUUUUUAAGUGCCUCCUGGAUGUCAACCUUCUUUCUAGAUAAGGCAGCAUCAACAUGAGCCUCAAAUUCAAGAAGCUGUGUAUACAAAGCAGACUCAGGGAGAAUUGCUGCCACUCUAUCUUGUAGUUGCUUCUCCGGAAGCUUCUGCUUCUUCCUGCGAGCUGC
rnacentral:misc_RNA from 1 species